ACGCGUAUUAUUUUCGUAAUUAAAGUUCUCGAAUGGGCGCAGCUUGUUGGUUUCCCGCGUAUGAGAGUGAAAACACGUUUUUACGACGCAUCUUGCAUCAUACGCGCGGAUAGAAAGACGACGGACAAUGAAGGGAGGAUGGUAAACGAGAGGAGGAUGAGGGAAAAAGGAAAAGAAAAGGAAGAGUAUGAGAAUGAAGUAGAAGGGGAGGAAGAGGAGAAGAAGAAGAAGGAUAAGAGCGUGGCGGGGGCUUAGGUAACUCCGGAGGAUCAUGAUUAAUCAAUUAGCGAUCCCAAGACCUCUUCAAAAAUCGAUGUUGGCCCGGGCAAAAAAGGCCGACCAGCAAAGGAGCCGCCAAUGACGUUGCCGGAACGUACGCGUAUACUGUCAACUGAUUUUUGAAAAAAUUUUCCCGCCGACCGAGUCACCGCAUCCUUUUACCCUUUCACUUUCUUUCUUCACUCUCUUUCUUUUCUUUCUUUCUUCCCUUUCUUUCUUUAACAGAGAUUUUUACCUACCGAAAAAUUCUAUUACACCGGCACAAAAGCAACGAUUUCGCGGCGGCUCGAAUCCGAGGAUUCUUUUUGCGAGAUUACCUUUUCGACGAGAGAGAGAGAGAGAGAGAGAGAAAGAGAGAGAGAGAGAGA